GUACUUGCUUUGGCAGCACAUACCCUAAAACUGGAAUGAUACAGUGAUUAGCAUGGCUCUUGUGCAAGGAUGACACACAAAUUUGUGAAGUGUUCCAUAUUUAA
ensembl:snRNA U6 U6 spliceosomal RNA